AACGAACGCUGGCGGCAGGCUUAACACAUGCAAGUCGAGCGCAUCCUUCGGGGUGAGCGGCGGACGGGUGAGUAACGCGUGGGAACGUGCCCUCUUCUACGGAAUAGCCUCGGGAAACUGAGAGUAAUGCCGUAUACGCCCGCAAGGGGAAAGAUUUAUCGGAGGAGGAUCGGCCCGCGUUGGAUUAGGUAGUUGGUGGGGUAACGGCCUACCAAGCCGACGAUCCAUAGCUGGUUUGAGAGGAUGAUCAGCCACACUGGGACUGAGACACGGCCCAGACUCCUACGGGAGGCAGCAGCGGGGAAUCUUGGACAAUGGGGGCAACCCUGAGCCAGCCAUGCCGCGUGAUCGAUGAAGGCCUUAGGGUUGUAAAGAUCUUUCAGCUGGGAAGAUAAUGACGGUACCAGCAGAAGAAGCCCCGGCUAACUCCGUG
rnacentral:rRNA from 1 species